rnacentral:tRNA from 1 species
ACCUAGCUGGCUCAGUCAGAAGAGCAUGAGACUCUUGAUCUCAGGUCAUGAAUUCAAGCCCCAUGCUGGGUG